GCAGAGUUAUAGGCCGCUCUGGUCCCUGGAGCCCAGGGGUUGUCCAUGAGUCUUGUAACCGUCUGUGGAAUGUCUGUGAAUGUCCAGGGACUCCGGAAAUCAACCAGACCGUGAGUUGCAGCAGGCCCUGAUUGAUUAGGUUGUGCGGAUUCCCCUCUGGGUCCAAGAGCAAGUCUGGUUUUGCUGGUAUUACUCGUGGAGAGUCGAUUGCCAUUUCUAGUAGUCGAGGAAACCACGGCUGAGCGUGCCAUAGUGGAACCACUAUCACUAGUGAACAGUCCUGUGUGCAUAGGUAUGAUAGUGUCCUGGAAAUGAG